rnacentral:rRNA from 1 species
CCGACUGCUAUUUGGGCGAGAAUAAGCCAUGCGAGUUGAAUGGGAUACCUAAAGUUCCCAUAGCAAACUGCUCAGUAACACAUGAUCAACUUACCCUAUAGAGAAAAAUAACCUCGGGAAACUGAGGAUAAUGUUUCAUAAUUGAAUUGGCUUGGAAAAGUUUUUCAAUGAAAAGGAUAAAAAAAAUGGUUUUUAUCUGUUAUAGGAUAGGAUCGUGUUCGAUUAUGGUUGUUGGUGAGAUAAUGGCUCACCAAGCCGAUAAUCGAUAGGGGCCGUGAGAGCGGGGGCCCCGAGAUGGGUACUGAGACAACGACCCAGGCCUUACGAGGCGCAGCAGGCGCGGAACCUCCGCAAUACACGAAAGUGUGACGGGGUUACCCAAAGUGUUCAAUAGAACUGUGGUAGGUGAGUAAUGUCCCCUACUAGAAAGGAGAGGGCAAGGCUGGUGCCAGCCGCCGCGGUAGAACCAGCUCUUCAAGUGGUCGGGAUAAUUAUUGGGCUUAAAGUGUCCGUAGCCGGUUUAGCAAGUUCCUGGUAAAAUCGGGUAGCUUAGCUAUCUGUAUGCUAGGAAUACUGCUAUACUAGAGGGCGGGAGAGGUCUGAGGUACUACAGGGGUAGGGGUGAAAUCUUAUUAUCCUUGUAGGACCACCAGUGGCGAAGGCGUCAGACUGGAACGCGCCUGACGGUGAGGGACGAAAGCCAGGGGAGCGAACCGGAUUAGAUACCCGGGUAGUCCUGGCCGUAAACGAUGCAUACUAGGUGAUGGUACGGCCAUGAGCCGUAUCAGUGCCGUAGGGAAACCGUUAAGUGUGCCGCCUGGGAAGUACGGUCGCAAGGCUAAAACUUAAAGGAAU